rnacentral:misc_RNA from 1 species
AAGUCGUAACAAGGUUUCCGUAGGUGAACCUGCGGAAGGAUCAUUAAAAAAAGGGUCGCAAGACCCGUUUUUAAAACCUACCACCACCUAUCAUUUAUGGGUGAGAUGGAGGAGGUAGGGCUUUUUAAAAUCCAAUUCUUAUAAAAUCGUCUAAUGACGAACCAAAAAAAAUUAUCAAAACUUUCAACAAUGGAUCUCUUGGCUCUC